ACGAACGCUGGCGGCGUGCUUAACACAUGCAAGUGGAGCGACGAACCCGAGCUUGCUCGGGGGCAAAGCCGCGAACGGGUGAGUAACACGUGGGUAACCUGCCCUGUUGAUUGGGACAACCCCGGGAAACCGGGGCUAAUACCAAAUGUGCUGCAUCUUCUAUCAGUGGAUGUAGGAAAGGAGGCUUCGGCUUCCGCAACGGGAUGGGCCCGCGGCCCAUUAGCUUGUUGGUGGGGUAAUGGCCUACCAAGGCUUCGAUGGGUAGCUG
rnacentral:rRNA from 1 species